rnacentral:misc_RNA from 1 species
GUGCUUGGUUCGAGGGGCUCAGGUCGGGCACGGAUGAGGGUUGGGUUGAAGGGGCGCCUGGCGGGCCGGAACCCGCCGAGGCAACGAUGUUGGCGCAGGUAGACAGGGGGUAGGAGCUGGCCCUCGCGGGCGCGACUCGCUAAUGAUCCUUCCGCAGGUUCACCUACGGAAA